GCCCGGGUGGCUCAGUCGGUUGAGCAUCCGACUUCGGCUCAGGCCAUGAUCUCGCGGUUCGUGGGUUCGAGCCCCGCGUCGGGCU
rnacentral:tRNA from 1 species